UGGGAGGCUGAUACACAAAUUGGGCUGAAAUACUGCUCUACUUGUCACCAUACCUCCGUAGAAUAAAUUGCCUUUUGAUGACCGGGACGAAUUGAGUGAAAUCGUAACGGACAGAUACGGGGCAGACAAUU
rnacentral:snoRNA from 1 species